rnacentral:rRNA from 1 species
AUGAACGCUGGCGGCGUGCCUAAUACCUGCAGGUCGAGCGAACAGAUAAGGAGCUUGCUCCUUUGACGUUAGCGGCGGACGGGUGAGUAACACGUGGGUAACCUACCUAUAAGACUGGGAUAACUUCGGGAAACCGGAGCUAAUACCGGAUAACAUUUGGAACCGCAUGGUUCUAAAGUGAAAGAUGGUUUUGCUAUCACUUAUAGAUGGACCCGCGCCGUAUUAGCUAGUUGGUAAGGUAACGGCUUACCAAGGCAACGAUACGUAGCCGACCUGAGAGGGUGAUCGGCCACACUGGAACUGAGACACGGUCCAGACUCCUACGGGAGGCAGCAGUAGGGAAUCUUCCGCAAUGGGCGAAAGCCUGACGGAGCAACGCCGCGUGAGUGAUGAAGGGUUUCGGCUCGUAAAACUCUGUUAUUAGGGAAGAACAAACGUGUAAGUAACUGUGCACGUCUUGACGGUACCUAAUCAGAAAGCCACGGCUAACUACAUG